rnacentral:tRNA from 1 species
GCGGGCGUGGUGGAAUUGGUAGACACAUCAGACUUAAAAUCUGAAGGCCUUUAGGCCGUGCCGGUUCAAGUCCGGCCGCCCGCACCA